rnacentral:rRNA from 1 species
GAUGAACGCUAGCGACAGGCCUAACACAUGCAAGUCGAGGGGUAGCACAGGAUAGCUUGCUAUUUGGGUGACGACCGGCGCACGGGUGAGUAACGCGUAUGCAACCUGCCUAUAAGAGGGGGAUAGCCUUUCGAAAGAAAGAUUAAUACCGCAUAAUACUAUUUACCUGCAUGGGUAAAUAGUUAAACUAUUUGGCUUAUAGAUGGGCAUGCGUUCCAUUAGAUAGUUGGUGAGGUAACGGCUCACCAAGUCAGCGAUGGAUAGGGGUUCUGAGAGGAAGGUCCCCCACACUGGUACUGAGACACGGACCAGACUCCUACGGGAGGCAGCAGUGAGGAAUAUUAGUCAAUGGGCGAGAGCCUGAACCAGCCAAGUCGCGUGAAGGAUGAAGGUCUUAUGGAUUGUAAACUUCUUUUAUAAGGGAAUAAAAAAGACCACGUGUGGUUUAUUGCAUGUACCUUAUGAAUAAGCAUCGGCUAACUCCGUGCCAGCAGCCGCGGUAAUACGGAGGAUGCGAGCGUUAUCCGGAUUUAUUGGGUUUAAAGGGUGCGUAGGCGGUUUAUUAAGUCAGUGGUGAAAGUUUUCGGCUCAACCGGAAAAUUGCCAUUGAAACUGAUAGACUUGAGUGUAAACGAGGUAGGCGGAAUUCGUGGUGUAGCGGUGAAAUGCUUAGAUAUCACGAAGAACUCCAAUUGCGAAGGCAGCUUACUAGGCUACAACUGACGCUGAAGCACGAAAGCGUGGGGAUCAAACAGGAUUAGAUACCCUGGUAGUCCACGCAGUAAACGAUGA